ensembl:lncRNA
GGUGCUAUGAAUACUUUACUUUAGUUGUGACUCAGGAGGCAGAAACAGAGGGUUUCAAGGUUGUGGCUCCGUACAUGAUGGCAUAUGCCAUUACUAAAUACAAAUGUAACUACAGACCACCACAAAGUGACCAAAGUCAUACCCUUGUCACAUAUUCAGUGAUCUGGUCACUGUGGUAGCAUGCCUGUGCCAGAUUUAACCAUAAUACUGAACACAUAUUUCUAGCAGGUUCAUUUGAUAAUCUCUGACAUAAGGGUGAAGAGAGCAUAUCUGAAAAUUAGUCAGAAUUUGCUCUUUUAAAGUAGCAGAUUCUAAGAUUUCAGUGAAAUUCCUGCACAUUCAGAUAAAUCUGGGUCUGCAAAAAUGACAUUUUAAUAUAAACAUAAACAAAUAGAGAUUUUUACCCCCGUUCCGUGGCAUUCAAUGAAGUAUCUGGCAGUGUAGGAGCAGGUGUCAACGGUGACUGAAGUAUUGGUCAACUCUUUUACAGAAGGCUUUCUUUUGAUUUCAUCUUUGUCUACGAUAGCCACCGUCUCAUUCUAGAAAAAGUGUGUGAGACAGAAUUGUUGAUGGCAAGGAGUGCUCUAUGGCAUCGGUUCCCAAACUGGGGUACGCGUACCCCCAGGGGUACGCGAAGUGGUUCAGGGGGUACGCGGGGAGAACAUUUCCGCGAUAACAGAAAACGGACGGAAUUCGCAGAAUGUAGGCCUACCGUUUGAAACAGAAUUGCAACUUUCAAACGGAAACAUCAUUUUGUGCAUAAAAAUCGCCCAAAUUCCCCUGUAUUUUGUCCUGCAAGGCUGUAUUUCUUUCUUAUAAACACAACAACGAUCGCAACGAUGAACAAGCAUUAAUUAGAAAACAAAACCACUGAGAAAAUGUCACGUCUGUGCUGAACUCCGCUCCGGCCACGCCCCCCUAUUCAACACAGACCUCCUUAGCCUGUCAAAUGGAUUCGCUCAUCUUCCCAAUCGCCUGCAAAUCAUUUUAGUCUUCUGUUCUGUUGAUGGCUGGCAAACAACAACCUUAGAAGGUUUGGGUCACUUGUGGCACAUAUUAUUCACUCAUUUUUUUUUCAAGGGGGGGGGGGUACGCAGCUGGAGAAUAAAUGUCUGAAGGGGUACGGG